CAGUAGUAGACAGUAAUCUGAUUACUUUUUCAUCACUGUUCAGUGCUAAACACACACUUCUGACAGUACUGCAAAUAGUGCAUUUAUUUACAGUUUCAGCAUAUAAAAAGUGCAGUGCCAUACUGUGGGAUGAUAAGAGCAUGGCUUCGUGCUGGUCCGAUCUGUCCCCAAACACGCUCUCACGUCUGAAAGCACGUCUUAAUAUCAGUGCUUCUUAAUCCAACACGUGGUUCAAAAAUGGGCCUCAUGGUGCAGGAAGAAACACAGGUGAAUGGCACUUUAUAUCUCGCCCUCCUCACGUUUACAAUUGUUCACUCCUACCUGCGCAGUUUCGCCCACCUGUCGGUUGGUCCGCCCACAACAACUAAUACACACACACACACCGCCCCAGUAUUUCAACGUGGUUAUUAUUAGCUGAACCUUCUUGCAGUCCGCGAAAUAUUGUCUGACAUGAAAACGGUCCGUGAGGCAAAAAAGGUUGCGGACCACUGAUUUAAACAAUUCAAUUCAAUAAUUUUAUUUGGUACAGCCCAAAAUUGCAAAUUAGAGGGCUUUACAGUCUGUACACAUGUAACAUCCACUGUUCCGAAACCCUCACAUCGGCACAGGAAAAACACCCCCAAAAAUGAAAAACCCUUCCAUGGGGAAAAAAGGGAAGAAACCUUAGGGAGAACGUCAGAGGAGGGAUCCUCCUCCCGGGAUGGACAGACUACAAUAGAUGUCAUGUUUAUAUAAUAACCAAUGUAAAAGAUGUACAAUACAUUCAAUUUCUCUAACAUAAAUUAUACAAAUAAUUGCAAGCAGCAGGCCAAAUGUACAGCAGGACCACCGCAGGGGCAACCACCAUCCACAGAGGCUUCUGUGGGGAGGUAGAGCACAAAGAUGUUUGUUUAUGAUGACAGUAAAAUGUAUGGAAGUAAAUCUGUCUCAUCGGAUUAUGAAAGAAAAAGGUGAUUGAAUUUCUAGCACUGAAUAUUUAUGCAUUGAAAUUAUGUAUCUGAAUGUUUUUCAACGACUGCGGCAUGAUUAUGCAGAGGUAUGUAUGUCAGAGUCCCCCCCUCUGGACCCAGGUAAAGGCUGGUUUAGGUCUCCCUCUGGUGGAUCUGGGAGAGGUUGGCCUCGCACGCACCUGUCUCAGCUCUGCAAUCACGCACCUGCACCGGAGCCACAAUCACCAGGGGAUAAGAGGGAGAGCCUGACAACCGGCCGACGUCGGAUCGUUACUCACGUCACUGACACCUGUCUGUUCCUGCACGUGGGAGGACCACUGGGCACCGCGCAUUGUCGAGGAGAUCAUCAGCCGGGACCCCCUCCUUCACCUGCACUUCUCACGCCCGCUCCUGCUGCACCUCCACAGUCGUGUCGAUUAAUAAACUGACUAUUCACUCACCUCCUGACAGCUGUGUCUGUCUGUCCUGCAUUUGGGUCCAGCCAUGUCCCAACUUGACAGAACGAUCCGACCAUCUAUGGACCCAGCAAACUUCGACACGGUACGUCAGGCGAUCUCGUCCCAAGGAGCCAUGUUGGGGCAGCACCAGUCCUCCCUGCAGGGAAUAAUGGCCAGCCUGGACUCCCUGUCGAUCCAGGCGCACCUCAACGUACCACCCCACCCUCCGGUUCAGAGCCUGUCUGAACCCGUUUCUGUGGUUAUGUCCAUGCCAGACCACGAGCCCCAGGUCCCCACGCCGGAGAGAUAUGACGGACACCGGCCGGUGCCGCUCGUUUCUGAUACAGGUGGGACUGGUGUUCGAGCGAGCCAAGAUCUCCUACAUUAUCGGAUUACUGCGCGGGGAGGCUUUGGAAUGGGCCUCUGCCGUGUGGGAGAAGCAGGGCGCAAUCGCCCAAUCAUGUGAGUUAUUUACCGCGGAGAUGCGGAAGAUAUUCGAUCACCCCGUUCGGGGAAAAGACGCUUCAAAGCGAUUAUUAUCACUGCGGCAAGGGACACGCAGUGUCGCCGAUUAUAGCAGCGUAGCAGCAGUAUAAAGUUCCGUAUCCUAGCUGCGGAGAGUGGCUGGGAUGAGGAGGCACUACAGGGGGUGUUCUACAACGGACUUACUGAGGGAAUUAAGGACAGUCUACUCUGCUACCCCGAGGCACAGGGACUGGAGGAGCUGAUCUGUCUCACCACACGGAUUAAUAACCGUAAUAGGGAGCGGAGGCGUGAGCAGGGCUCGGCACCAAGGGGAGCGCCGUUCUCCAGAGUCGACACUCCUGAGAGGGUUACAGACCCCGAACCCAUGCAACUGGGCCGCUAGCAAAUUUCGGAGGCGGAGCUUCUGCGCAGACGCAUGACUAACAGCUGUCUAUAUUGUGGCACGUCGGGUCACUUUCGCUCUCGUUGCCCAUUAAAGGGUGGAAACGGCCCCGCUCACUAGAAGUAAGGAGGAGUCUAGCGAGCGAGAGUCUAUGCCCCUCCCCCCACAUAUCACGGACUCCGCUGAAGAUUUUAGUCAGCAACCGCACUGCAGCAAUGGCAGUGGAGGGACUCAUAGACUCCGGGGCCGAUGACAAUUUUAUGGACCAUAAGCUUGUAGACCGAUUAGGACUCCGUAGAGUUCCAUUAGAGGAGGUUAUUGACGCUAACUCCCUAGAUCAGUGUUUCUCAACUGGUGGCUCCCGGGCCAUUGCAUGGAAAAAAAAAAUCAUCCUGGGAUUUUAUUUUGAAGGGACUUUCUCUAAUGCAGCGGAGUGUCGGUGUUUUUCCGGCUCGUCCGUCCUUGUUUUCAGUCAGCAAUUAGAAUGCGGAAGCACCGCCCCCCACAUUGAACUGCUGCCCGGGGCCUCCCUACCCAAGGGCAGACUCUACAAUAUCUCCAGACCACAGCGAGAGGCCAUGGAGAAUUACAUCAGGGACUCAUUGGCAGCUGGAAUCAUCCGCCCCUCUUCCUCUCCGCUGGGCGCAGGGUUCUUCUUUGUUAAAAGAAGGACGGCACACUCAGGCCAUGCAUCGACUAUCGGGGGUUGAAUUACGUGUCUGUCAAGAACAAAUACCCGUUACCACUGAUGAACACUGCUUUCGAUUCAUUACAGGGCGCUACUGUGUUCACCAAGCUCGACCUCCGCAACGCCUACCACCUGAUCCGCAUUCAAGAGGGGGAUGAGUGGCUCACCGGGUUCAACACCCCCCUGGGCCACUUUGAAUACUUGGUUAUGCCAUUCGGUUUAACUAAUGCCCUAGCCGUGUUCCAAUGUCUAGUUAAUGACGUCCUACGUGACUAGCUGGGUCGCUUUGUUUUUGUCUACCUGGACGACAUACUUGUUUUUCAGAGAAUCAGGAGGAAAACCUGAGGCACGUCCGCCAGGUUCUUCAGCGGGUGCUGGAGAACAGACUCUUUGUGAAAGCGGAGAAGUGUGAAUUUUACACCAGGUGCACAAGCUUUCUGGGUUAUGUCAUCGCCGAGGGAGAGGUAAGAAUGGACCCCCAGAAGGUGCAGGCCAUCCUGGAGUGGCCCAGACCCAAUUCCCGCAAGGAGUUACAGAGGUUUCUGGGGUUCGCUAACUUUUAUAGGCGGUUCAUCCGCUACUACAGCCAGAUUGCAGCCCCCCUAACAGACCUUACCUCCAAUCUCACAGCGUUCCGGUGGUCUCCUGGGGCAGAGUCCGCCUUCCAGGAGCUCAGGGAGCGUUUCACGUCGGCACCCAUUCUUGCCGAACCGGACCCGUCCCUACAGUUCGUGGUAGAGGUUGACGCGUGUCUGUCUGUUCUGCAUUUGGGUCCAGCCAUGUCCCAACCUGACAAUGUUUUCACUUUAGCAGUGUGAUCUUGCAUACUGUCUGUGGUGGCGGGCGUGGUUUCAGCUCGGCUGCAGGGGGGAGAGAGGGGGAGUGGCUCGGGGAACAGUGCCAGGUGAAAACAAUAACGACCAGCUGGCGAUGAUUGUGUGUGCAUGUGCUCUCCCCUACUUAAACAGUAAGGCGGAGGCGAGCGAGGAGAGAGGGUUGCCGAGUGAGCCAGACGCCGGCGCAGUGCUGAAUAUAAAUAAAACGUUUUUCUAAACACGACCCAGGCAUUGAGUCCCUUUUAUCCGGAGCCCGACGGACCCAACACCGUACACCAGAGGUGGGAACAAGUCACAAGCAAGUCUCAAGUCAUUGCCCUCGAGUCCCGAGUCAAGUCGAGUCACAAGUCAAAGCCAACAAGUCUCAAGUCGAGUCACAAGUCGUACCAUUUUAGUUUCGAGUCAUUUCGAGUCCUUUUAUUAUAGUGGGGACGGGGAACCCUGGGUGAUGGUGCGCUGCCUCACAGACCUAGACUACGAAGGGAAGGGUAAUGGUGGAUCGACUGUGACUGUGUUAUAGUACUGUAGCACUCACCCCAAUGCUGCAGCGUAAAUAAGGAGGCGAUCGCUUGCAACUCCGCUGCAUUUAUUUAUAUAAAACAACUCAACUUCGGUCACUGUUGGCCGUCACCACGCCGAACGAACACUUCCGCAUACACGGCCCCCCAAAACUCGGGUUGUCUCGCGUAACUACAGCUGGUAACAGAGCAUAACGUGAACACAUGCAACAUCUGCAUAACUGAUUAACUAAUAACUUUAACUCAGCUCAUUACACUACUUUAAAACGGACGUUGACAUAACGUUGGCGAGGAUUUCCAUCGGAGUCUGAAUCCGGGUUCAAAAAUCCCGAUUUUUGUAACCGUGAACGAGCUGUCUCGUUGAUACGGUCAAAUGGACUGCAGUGAUUGGAUGUCGUGCAGGCAGCGCGCGCUCUCUGCAUACAGGUGGCGCACAUUUAUUUGACAGAUGCAGAUAAACAGAGCGGCGCGGUGGUGUGAAAAUGUUUUCCCCCAGUUUUCAUGGGAAGUAUCAAGUCUUCUCGAGUCAAAAGGCUCGAGUCCAAGUCAAGUCACGAGUCAUCGGUGUUCAAGUCCAAGUCGAGUUGCAAGUCUUUGUACGUUUUGUCGAGUCUCAAGUCAUCAAAUUCAUGACUCGAGUCUGACUCGAGUCCAAGUCACAUGACUCGAGUCCACACCUCUGCCGUACACUGUCUUUUACUGUAAUAUGUAUACUCUACUAGUCUACACUGAACUACACAAUUCUGCCUGACACUGCUUUCAGAGUUUUAAAAAUGGAUGGAGAGGAGCAUGAGUUAAUUUACGUAGAUGAGGCUUAGUUCAACCUGACGAAAACACGAAGGAGGGGAAGAAACAACAUUGGCUACAAGGCUAUAGUCAAUGUCUCAGGGCAACAUGGGGGUAAUAUAACACUCUGUGUAGCCAUUACACAGAAUGGGGUCUUUCACUGCCAUGCCCAUAUGGGCCCUUAUAACACAGCACUCAUUCUUACAUUCUUGGACCAAUCGCACAACAUAACAGCAUCAAAUCGAUCGUAUGCAAUACAUUGUUGUCUGGGACAAUGUGUCUUUUCACCGCACUGGUUCAGAACUGGUUUCAGCAAAAUCCACAGUUCACCAUCCUAUAUCUUCCACCAUACUCUCCAUUUCUCAACCCUAUAGAAGAGUUUUUCUUUGCAUUGCAGUGGAAGGUAUAUGAUCUCCGUCUCCAGGCCGACGUACCCCUCAUCCAAGCCAUGGAGGAGGCCUGUGACUAGAUGGAGGUAGCAGCAAUGCAAGAAUGGAUUCGUCAUUCAAGACGUUUCUUUCCAAGGUGUCUUCUUACAGUUUUUUUGGAUUGCUAAAGCACGAUUUUCAAAACAGGACCCGUGUUUUCAAAACACUACACACAAUUAGCACAACCAAAAACCCAAUUAGCAAAACACUAAAGAUCCUUUGCAAAAUUAAACACACUUGUAAAAACUAUACACUUCUUUUAAAAAAACGCAUUGUUACCAUAUGAAACACACACAUUUCAAAUUACUAUGCUGUGAUAAACCUAAAACACUUUUAGCACUUCUACUUUCCUAUGAUUAGAGUAGGUUACUGUCAACAAAGUACAAAUAUAAUGUAAAUUCACCAAACGCUACACAAGACCAAUGUUGCAGACUGAAGAAACUCAUUUAUUUCUCAACACGCCCAAAUUGUUGACAAUGAUAUUGAGACAUGUCUCUUCGCCUAGCUGGAUCUGGCCAGAGAAUUUUAUCAACAUCGCAGGCAAUGUUGUCAUUACAGUUUUUCUUGAUUGUUUACACACAAAUACUGGUACUUGACACACAACGACCACAACAUGUAACUCAUGCACCAACCACCUGAACCAAUUCUGCUAAACUACAAGCACAAUUUUUGCUUUACACUCAAAUUGCAGUUCUAAAACACACUUUUUUCAAAACACUACACACAAUUCUCUGCAUUCUCUGCACAAUUUUCAUGAAGAAAAUUUUGUUUUUACAAGAAAAACACUAAUUCAAAAUUCUAAAGUCAAUUGCCCUACUAUGCACACUGACUCAUCACAUGGGAAAACACCUGUCACACAGUGUUACAAUUAGGAAUCAGAGCUUUAGCAUAAAAGGGCAACAGGUGAGCUCUUCUGUUUUGGAGCAAUGGAUGCCAACAUUAGAAACGGAGCCAGAGGAGUGAGAGUAAGAGGAGGAGGACAGGGGGAGGACGAGGAAGGCCAAGGACCGUAAACUCUGAUGAGAUCUGAGCCACUUUGGUUGACCAAAGCUAUGGAGGAAUUUUUUUCUGCCUGGAGAUGGAAAGUGUAUGACUGACAUCCACAAACGCAUAUCCCCCUUCUAUAAGCUAUAGAAGACGCAUGUGGAGAUGAAGCAGUUGGAGCUUUUCAUGGCUGGAUUCAACAUGCUAAGCAAUAUUUCCCCCACUGCUUGGCCAGGGAAAACAUUGCUUGUGAUGUGGAUGAGGUUCUGUGGAACAGACUGAAACAGAAGAGAGGAUGCAGCAUAGUUGUUUUUUUUACUGUAACUGUAUACAGUAAAUUCUUGUUGUUUUGUAAAUAGACUGUAUGUGCAACUUUGUGUUGGUUGGGAUGUACACUGUGUGCAUUAUUUUCGUGGGGAAAAUAAAAUAUAUUUGUUACCAUGUAUUUGUGUGUUCUGAGUAUAAAAACAAUAUUUGACAACACACGUAUGUAUGUACUGUCUGUAGUAAGUGUAAAAAAAGGUCAAAAUCAUUAUGAUGAAUGGAGAAGUGUUUUCCAUUCAUCAUAGUGUUUUAAAUUGAGCACAUCAGUGUUCAACUGGUUCUUAUAAAAGUAUAUUCAUAUGAUGGUUUGUGUGUGUCAUUUGAAAACCAAAUACCAUUUUGAGAAGAAAUAACAUUGUUUUGAAUGUAAAGUUUCAUUUUGCAGGAGUAUUGAGGGGUUUUGCCCAUUGUGUGUGUGUUUUUUGAUUUGUGUGUAGAGUUCUGAGAGUAUGAGGCAUGCUUUAAGAAAAUGUGUCUAA